GUUACUCUCACACUCUCCGAUCGAGAGCAGUGGACUUGGGUGUUGCUGCUUCACUGUGGCUCACCUCAAAUUGGUUAGUGCUACUCAUGAUUGGAGAUAUAGUACAGCAUGAUAAAUGUCGUUGCUGGUGCUUUCUGAUCAGGAGUUGUGCUUCAAACAGUCUGUGGACAACUUCUGACG
rnacentral:misc_RNA from 1 species